AUUCUCGUUCAUGGAGACAAUUGCAAACCCCAAUCCCUAAUCAUUGAAAGUGAUUUCAACGGGGUUAACCGCUCUCCUUCUCGGGGGGGAGGACACGUUGAUUCCUUCAGUGUAACCGCGCGUGCUGGCCCGAGACAUCUAAGGCAUCACAGACCUGUUAUUGCUCAAUUCUCGUGCGGCUAAAGUUGCCGCUUAUCCCUCUAAGAAGAAGCUGCGAACUGGGACACCAAUUGUGCUGGAGAUCCGUCGACUAGUUAGUAGGCCAGAGUCUCGUUCGUUUAUCGGAAUUAAACAGACAAAUCGCUCCACCAACUAAAGAAACGGCCAUGGCACCACCCACCGAAUCGAGAAAGGUAGCUCUCAAUCUGUCAAUCCUUCCGGUGUCGGCCUGGUGAGGUUCCCGUUGUUGAGUGGUCAAAUUAAGCCGCAGGCUCCACUGCUGGUGGUGCCCUUCGUCAAUUCCUUUAAUUUUCUAGCUUUGCAACCAAUACUUCCCGGAACCCCAAAGACUUUGGCUUUCCGGAAGCGCCCGGCCGAUCAUGAAUAUUACAGCGCCGCGGGCAGCCUUUCCGGAAACCAUAAGUCUUUGGUUCCGUGGGAAGUAUUGGUUGCAAAGCUGAAACUUAAAGGAAUUGACGGAAGGGCACCACCAGGAGUGGAGCCUGCGGCUUAAUUUGACUCAACACGGGGAACCUCACCAGGCCCAGACACCGGAAGGAUUGACAGAUUGAGAGCUCUUUCUCGAUUCGGUGGGUGGUGGUGCAUGGCCGUUCUUAGUUGGUGGAGCGAUUUGUCUGGUUAAUUCCGAUAACGAACGAGACUCUGGCCUACUAACUAGUCGACGGAUCUCCAGCAAUUGGUGUCCAGUUCGCAGCUUCUUCUUAGAGGGAUAAGCGGCAACUUUAGCCGCACGAGAUUGAGCAAUAACAGGUCUGAUGCCCUUAGAUGUUCUGGGCCGCACGCGCGCUACACUGAAGGGAUCAACGUGUCCUCCCCCUCCGAGAGGAGCGGGUAACCCGUUGAAAUCCUUUCAUGAUAGGGAUUGGGGUUUGCAAUUGUCUCCCAUGAACGAGGAAUUCCCAGUAAGCGCAAGUCAUGAGCUUGCGUUGAUUACGUCCCUGCCCUUUGUACACACCGCCCGUCGCUACUACCGAUUGAAUGAUUUAGUGAGGCCUUCGGACUGGCGCUCUUGGAUGCCGGGCCCACGCGGUUCCGCCGCUGGGCUUUCGGCGCCUCGAGCUGACGGAAGAUGUCCAAACUUGAUCAUUUAGAGGAAGUAAAAGUCGUAACAAGGUUUCCGUAGGUGAACCUGCGGAAG
rnacentral:rRNA from 1 species